UAGGAGGCAACCAUAAACUAAGAGAUUAUAAAAUACAGAAGGGCAACUCCAGGAAUCAGGCUUAGUUUGGGUUGAUCAUCAAAGGAGGGCAGUGUGCGAAGGAGGGCGUGGGCAGGCCUGAGCUUAAACAAAACUAUGAAGUGGAGAAGGGGAAGCCUUUUGACUUUCAUUUUCCCUUCUUUCAAUCCAUAAGUCCCUGAACUAUCUUCUCUCUCCUAUCAAAUGCCCUUAGCAAAAGACCAGAUGAGUUCAUUCAAACAAAAGUUUAAAUGGUUCAUGUUGAGGAAUAUAUUUCUGAAGAAGACAGUUCAUGCAUCAGCAAGUUGAUUAAGGAAGUUUGGGAGUGGACAGUGCCCUAAUGCAUGGCCAGGUUAACCACUGAGGAGGGGCCGCCCAGGAGGAAGUAAGAUCUGGAAGCUGACCAGUCGUGCCAUUGGAUGAAUAAUUUCAGGCUAGUUAAGGAAGAAGUCAAGAUGGAGAGAACUCUGCUGUGUUGCCUCCUUUCAUUCUCUGCUUUAUGCUGAAAGAAUUUGAGCAUCCUUCAAAUAUGAGAUUAAAGGAUGAAAAACACAAACUAAAGCUGGAUGGUAAGAGGCAUUCCUGGGAAGUUUUGUUCUUUCUACCCGAAGAAGCUCCACAACCUGCAGUAAGAUGGUGUCCACAGAACUGGGUGGAGUCAUUAAGAUUUUUCUACCCCUCUCCCACUGCCACCCACAUGCUAGCGCUAGCUCCUUUGUGGACCUAAGAUAACCCAUUUCUUCUCAGAGCCUGGGACCCACAUCAUCUCCCACCCCCACUGGCCAAUGCUUUUCACAUCAACAGUUGUGAAUCUUUCCCAUGUUUCUUCAGCGCUUUU
rnacentral:lncRNA from 1 species